GACGAACGCUGGCGGCGUGCUUAACACAUGCAAGUCGAACGGAAAGGCCCUGCUUUUGUGGGGUGCUCGAGUGGCGAACGGGUGAGUAACACGUGAGUAACCUGCCCUUGACUUUGGGAUAACUUCAGGAAACUGGGGCUAAUACCGGAUAGGAGCUCCUGCUUCAUGGUGGGGGUUGGAAAGUUUCGGCGGUUGGGGAUGGACUCGCGGCUUAUCAGCUUGUUGGUGGGGUAGUGGCUUACCAAGGCUUUGACGGGUAGCCGGCCUGAGAGGGUGACCGGCCAAGUUGGGACUGAGAUACGGCCCAGACUCCUACGGGAGGAAGCAGUGGGGAAUAUUGCACAAUGGGCGGAAGCCUGAUGCAGCAACGCCGCGUGCGGGAUGACGGCCUUCGGGUUGUAAACCGCUUUCGCCUGUGACGAAGCGUGAGUGACGGUAAUGGGUAAAGAAGCACCGGCUAACUACGUG
rnacentral:rRNA from 1 species